GACGAACGCUGGCGGCGUGCUUAACACAUGCAAGUCGAACGGGAAGUCCCUGCUGUUGUGGGGGGCUCGAGGAGCGAACGUGUAAGUAACGCGUGAGUAGCCUGCCCUGGACUUUGUGAUAACUUCAGGGAACUGGGGCUAAUACCGGAUAGGAGCUCCUGCUGCAGGGUAGGGGUUGGAAAGGUUCGGCGGUUGGGGAUGGAGUCGCGUCUGAUCAGCUUGUUGGUGGGGUAGUGGCUGACCCAGUCUUGGACGGGUAGCAGGCCUGAGCGGGUGACAUGCCCCAUUGGGACUGGGCUGAGGCCCAGCCCCAUCCGGGAGGCAGCAGUGGGGAAUAUUGCACAACGGGCGGAAGGCUGCUGCAGCAACGCCGCGUGGGGGAUGACGGCCAUCGGGUUGGUAUCCGAUUCCGCAUGAGAAGAAGCGUGAGUGACGGUAAUGGGUAAAGAAGCACCGGCUAACUACGUG
rnacentral:rRNA from 1 species